CUUCGGGGUGCCCAGGCGCGAAAACUCCACAAUGUACGGAAGUACGAUGGGGUUAUCUCGAGUGCAGUCCGAUAAGGGCUGCUUUUCCAUAGAGUAAUAUCCUGUGGGAAUAAGAGGGGGGCAAGACUGGUGUCGGCCGCCGCGGUAACACCAGCCCCUCGAGUGGUGGGGACUAUUAUUUGGCCUAAAGCGUCCGUAGCUGGCUGUAUCCGUCCCCCGUUAAAUCCAGCGUCCUAAGCGUUGGACUGCGGGUGAUACCAUACAGCUAGAGGGUGGGAUAGGUGAGCGGUAUUUCUGGGGUAGGGGCGAAAUCCUUUGAUCCCAGGAGGACCACCAGUGGCGAAGGCUGCUCACUAGAACACGCCUGACGGUCAGGGACGAAAGCUGGGGCAGCGAACCGGAUUAGAUACCCGGGUAGUCCCAGCUGUAAACGAUGCUGCUAGGUGUUGGGUCGGCCACGUGCCGCCCCAGUGCCGCAGGGAAGCCGUUAAGCUAGCCGCCUGGGGAGUACGGCCGCAAGGCUGAAACUUAAAGGAAUUGGCGGGGGAGCAC
rnacentral:rRNA from 1 species